AGAAAGCCCAAUUCCAUCUGGCCCCUGCAGGUUGGCUCAGCACUGGGGAAUCAGAGUCCCCUCCAUGACCAAGGCACCACUCCACUGACAGACUCUGUUAAUCAGCUUGCUUGGCUGGCCUCCAACCAUAGGUCCAGGGGCUGAGACAAGGUCCUUUUGAGCUCCUAUGUGGGAGGCUCUGGAAAGCUUAGCAACACUUUCCAACAACUUUGCCAGGUAAGUAGGUAAGUCUCCUUGUUCUCAUUUCCAGAGAAGACAACUGAAACCCAAAGAAAGACUUGCCCAAGCCAUGAUUGGCUAGUUGAUGGCCAAGACAGCAUUAGAACACAAGUUUGUCGAUUCUGUCAUGCCAUAUUUGGUGACCAUGACUGCUGCUUUUGCUGCUGGGUGGAUUAGGCUGAAUUGGGGUCACAUCUCCCAGGAAGAUCUCACUUCCCCACAGAAGCUCUUGGCCUGGCCUCCUGCAGUGCCACGCUCCGUGUAUUUGACAAGCUGAGUUGGACACUCCAUGUGGUAGAGUGUCAGUUUGUCAAAUACCCCAAGUGCGGCACAUGCUUACCAGCUCUAGGCCAGGGCAGAUGGGAUAUGACGAAUGGACUGCCAGCUGGAUACAAGGAUGCUCACCAAGCACCAAGUUCUCACAAGUUAUUUUAUGUGACUUUGCAGGAACUGAGGCAUUAUAUCUGAGGACACCAGGGGAAAAGUGUGGCAUCUCAGGGAAAUACAGCCCUGGGCUGUGUCUACACACACCAUGAGAGUGCUGAUGGGGGCGCAAUAGUCUUGAAAAUGUAUAAAGUGUCCAGGAAUGGAAGUGCUCUUUGAUUCAUUAUUAUUUUCUUCCUUCAUAUUCCCCUCCCAGAGUCUCCUAUCUAGGACAUCAGCAUUCUCACACAAGCCUAAUGGCUUAUCUGAGUAAGCAGGGCUUAGAAAUUCACUUUCUUGAUACUCAGUCUUGCCUUCUAAACACUCCUUGAUCUUGCCUACCUCUCCCCUUUUCCACAUGUCUUUUCCUGUAGGAACACUUUCUCCAUUUAUUCCUGCCUAUCCAAUUCUUCCCUAUAUUUCCUGGACCAGCUAAAGUCCAGUGUUUCCAGAGACUUUUGAAAGUCAACUUACACUUUUUCCUUCUUCAUUCACAAAGCUCUUCUUCCCUGGGCCCUGGUAUGUAUGCCUUUCUCUCCUACUGUCUAAUAGCACCUCGUAAAUUGUCAAUGAACUUUUCUAAGGGGUAUUCUUGAAUUCCCAACUAGAUUGUGAGCUUCUGGAAGACAAGGCUAUGUCUUUGAUUGUUGUCUCCCCUACCACAGCCCAGUACUUUAGUUACAGAAAAUAAUAAAUAUUUACUGAUUGAUUGACUUUCCUCUUGUCCACUAGCUUUAGGUUUGGGGGCCAAAUUCUACCCUGGAUUUUGAAAAAUUCAAACUGUGAACACCACAAUGUUAUAGAGCAUAUGAGGUAGUAGCCAGCAUGAAGGAUGUUUUCUUCCUGAGAAACAGUGUCAAGGGCUGGAGGAAGAGGGCAAAAUAGCAGACUCAGAGGGCAAAUAAAUUUUGGUAUUACUUGGUCACACAAGGUUAUACAGGUGUUUUCUUGUAGGAUUUUUCAGAGCCUUUAAUAGUCUAAUGUUGCAUUGAGAAUCUCAAAGAGGAAACCAUAGAAUGAGGCAUUUGCCAUACCUAUCUGAUCAUGAAUUUUCUUUUCCCCCACAGCCUUCUCCUGUGUCAAUGUCCAAUGAAGCACGAUUUGGGAAACUGUCCUAGAGAAACUUUAUACCUUCCCGCUCUUCUGGAGAUCUUUUCCUCUUUUCAUUCAUCUACUUUCCCCAACCAGCCAUCUGCCUAAGAAAGGUCACAUGUUAUCAUCUCAUUUUUGUUUAGCCUCUGCAGCUGUGGACUAUCUUUAUUACAUAGGAAUUCUUUACUAGCUUGUCCUGUAUUUAAAAAUAUUCUAAGUUUUGAGGCAAAGAAGAUCCAGAUGCUGCAAUAAAUAUAUGCACUGAGGAGUUCACAGGCCUGACUUUUGGUCUCCUUUCUACCACUAACUGUGUUUUUGUUCCUCUCUGAGCUUCAUUUUCUCAUCUCCAAUACGGAAGUAUUAGAAUCAGUGAUCUCUAGGCUCUUUAAGAUUAAUGACUUUGAGAUAUCCCUGGGAGUCCUUAGCUCUUAUGGAGCAGCGUCCCUGGAUGUGUGGCUCCUUUUACCAGUGAAAAUGCAACCAGGAUUCUCUUCCCAACACCUAAAACUCACUUUUUCUAUGGGUAGUAGGGAAAGAUAAUGGGUAUUUUCAAAGGCUGUAGGGUCUGGACGCAGAGUUGUUUCAUGAAGGAAGUUGGGGUUUCCACUGGGUGGAGGCCCUAUUUCAGAGGCUUGUAAGCACGAUGGGGAAGAAAGAGUUGUUCCUUUCGCCAACUAGGAGAAGCUAGCGUCUGGAAUGAGGAAAAUGUUGAGGUUUUUACCCUGGAUUUGGCAUGUUGGGUGGCGGUGAAGUGGAGGACUCCUUUUUGUUACUUUCGUGUACUAUUUUGACUUCUGUAAUCAUUGCAAAAGGGGAGCAGCUCCUUGUGAAACAUGAGCUGACCUAGGGGCUGCAUGGGAACCAGAAAUAGCAACAUGGCAGCUUCCUUGAAGAGUGCAGAAGUUGAUUUGACAUUAAUUACAU
rnacentral:lncRNA from 1 species